UACAGAGGUCCCAAGCGUUGUUCGGAUUCACUGGGCGUAAAGGGUGCGUAGGUGGCCAGGUAAGUUUGGUGUGAAAGCUCGGAGCUUAACUCCGAAAUGGCAUUGAAUACUAUCUGGCUGGAGGGUCGGAGGGGAGACUGGAAUUCUCGGUGUAGCAGUGAAAUGCGUAGAUAUCGAGAGGAACACCAGUGGCGAAGGCGAGUCCCUGGACGACACCUGACACUGAGGCACGAAAGCUAGGGGAGCAAACAGG
rnacentral:rRNA from 1 species